UACGGAGGGAGCUAGCGUUGUUCGGAAUUACUGGGCGUAAAGGGCGCGUAGGCGGAUACUUAAGUCGGGGGUGAAAGCCCAGGGCUCAACCCUGGAAUAGCCUUCGAUACUGGGUAUCUUGAGUUCGGGAGAGGUGAGUGGAACUCCGAGUGUAGAGGUGAAAUUCGUAGAUAUUCGGAAGAACACCAGUGGCGAAGGCGACUCACUGGCCCGAUACUGACGCUGAGGCGCGAAAGCGUGGGGAGCAAACAGG
rnacentral:rRNA from 1 species